rnacentral:lncRNA from 1 species
CCCUCGCCUCCUGCUUAAUUUCUGGAGAAGCCAAUUGGCUUAACCCCCCCCCCGAUUGACCGUAGCUUUUCCCCAGAGAAGGAGCCGCGCGCGUUAUCUGCCUUCCCCAGUUGGAGUUUGCGGCGUGAGAAAGCGGGGCUGGCGAGCACCUGCCUCUUAGUCAUCCCUGGGCUUGAGGAUGUCCCCAGAUUACAUCUUCUCAGCUGUUUGCAAAACAGCGCUGGGAGGAGCGCGAGCCCCGAAUUACACACAGCCGCGGCUGUCCCUUUAAAUGCUGGGGUCUGCGCGCCGGAGAGGGGAGGGGCCGGCUCCGGAGUGCGUGAAAUUCCUGGGCUCCUCCGACAGUCUCAGGCAGAGCGCUCCGCUCUACGCAUCUCUCCUCGCACGCAACUCGCGGAGAGAGGGGCUGAGGCGCGCCAAAGCUUUCCCUCGCUCCUCGCUGCCUGCAUCGCGCGUUCCCUCAGCCUGCUUCGCAGCCCGCGUUUUUGCGCCUCCGACAACGCCCUCCCGGUCCCGCCUCGCGCUUCCCCUCCCACCACACUCUCUUGCUGAGAGAGAGAGAGAGAGAGAGGCAAGAGACACCCCUGGAUUUCUUAGCGGCCCCCCAAAGAAGGAAACAAACAAAGAGUUGGUUAAACAACCCCACUCGCUUCUCAACUACCAAGAAAUGCCUGCCGUCCUUGUAUUGGACAUGUCUAGAAGGCCUGCACAAUUUGUG